GAUAAGGUGGCUGAAGUAUUAGGCGAUAAAUUGUAAAUUUAUUUAUGGGUUGACCUCUUAUCA
rnacentral:tRNA from 1 species